rnacentral:rRNA from 1 species
GACGAACGCUGGCGGCGCGCCUAACACAUGCAAGUCGAACGAGCGAGAGAGAGCUUGCUUUCUCGAGCGAGUGGCGAACGGGUGAGUAACGCGUGAGGAACCUGCCUCAAAGAGGGGGACAACAGUUGGAAACGACUGCUAAUACCGCAUAAGCCCGCGGUGCCGCAUGGCACAGAGGGAAAAGGAGCAAUCCGCUUUGAGAUGGCCUCGCGUCCGAUUAGCUAGUUGGUGAGGUAAUGGCCCACCAAGGCGACGAUCGGUAGCCGGACUGAGAGGUUGAACGGCCACAUUGGGACUGAGACACGGCCCAGACUCCUACGGGAGGCAGCAGUGGGGAAUAUUGCACAAUGGGGGAAACCCUGAUGCAGCGACGCCGCGUGGAGGAAGAAGGUCUUCGGAUUGUAAACUCCUGUUGUUGGGGAAGAUAAUGACGGUACCCAACAAGGAAGUGAC